rnacentral:rRNA from 1 species
UACGUAGGGUGCGAGCGUUAAUCGGAAUUACUGGGCGUAAAGCGCACGUAGGCGGACUCUUAAGUCGGUGGUGAAAUCCUGGAGCUCAACUCCAGAACUGCCUUCGAUACUGGGAGUCUCGAGUCCGGGAGAGGUGAGUGGAACUGCGAGUGUAGAGGUGAAAUUCGUAGAUAUUCGCAAGAACACCAGUGGCGAAGGCGGCUCACUGGCCCGGUACUGACGCUGAGGUGCGAAAGCGUGGGGAGCAAACAGG